UACAGAGGGGGCAAGCGUUGUUCGGAAUUACUGGGCGUAAAGGGCGCGUAGGCGGCCUCUUAAGUCGAACGUGAAAUCCCUGGGCUCAACCCAGGAACUGCGUCCGAUACUGGGGGGCUUGAAUCCGGGAGAGGGAUGUGGAAUUCCAGGUGUAGCGGUGAAAUGCGUAGAUAUCUGGAGGAACAUCGGUGGCGAAGGCGGCAUCCUGGACCGGUAUUGACGCUGAGGCGCGAAAGCCAGGGGAGCAAACGGG
rnacentral:rRNA from 1 species